rnacentral:rRNA from 1 species
CAGUAGCCGCGGUAAAACAGAGGGUGCGAGCGUUAAUCGGAUUUACUGGGCGUAAAGCGUGCGUAGGCGGCUUCUUAAGUCGGAUGUGAAAUUCCUGAGCUUAACUUAGGAAUUGCAUUCGAUACUGGGAAGCUAGAGUAUGGGAGAGGAUGGUAGAAUUCCAGGUGUAGCGGUGAAAUGCGUAGAGAUCUGGAGGAAUACCGAUGGCGAAGGCAGCCAUCUGGCCUAAUACUGACGCUGAGGUACGAAAGCAUGGGGAGCAAACAGGAUUAGAUACCCCCGUAGUCCCUGUCUCUUAUAC